UUUUUUUUUAACCGUCAGACGUCUUCGCGGGAUUUUUUUCUCUAGCGGGAAAAUCGCAUUUGACGAAGCAAAAUAGACGAUCAAAGACGGAGAGAAAAUCGCGGAUUCAGCGGUUCUUACGAUUUUUACAGCGACCGACCGCAACUUAAAAAUCAGUCGGUGGUGCACCCGUCGAUUAAGACGGUAAUUAAACGAUUGAAUGGACUCGAUCGAUCGGUAAAAUUCAUGGAACUUCUGCGGACUCCGCCAGAACGCCGUGCUGCGGCGAAAUGUUUUCUCUUUCGAAUCCAGGUGUCAGCCUUUUAUACCAUAUAUUGGAAAAUUGCUAGAAGAAUCUGGAAACAUGUUAACACGUGAGACGGUUCCUACAAGGAAACAGGAUGUCGAAUUCGUUCGCGGGAGGAUAUUAAUUCGACGAGAUACAGAUCGCAGAGCACCUUGUUACAUGAUUAAAUGUAAGACGUAAACUCGCCUCCUCUUUGUAGUCAUUACGUUCACGCUGGAUGGUGAUGGAAUCAUAAUUACAACGCGAUAUGGGAAUGAGAAAACACCAAGCAGAGUUACCUGCUCAAAUGUAUCGCUGCUAAUUCCACGUAAAAAUUAUUUAGUCGACUAAAUGGCAAUGUGUCUGGAGUUGACAUCGAACGGUCUAAAAUGGAAGAAGGAGAAACAAAGCCCCGAGAUGGAUGAUAAAAGAUAGAAGCGAGAGAAGCGCAGCAUGGUCGAGUGGGAAAUCCGUGUGGCGAAAGGACGAGCGAAGACGACGCGGUUUGUUGCGCCGCGAGUGAAAUGAAGAUGGAAGAAGGACGAGAGAGCCGAGGAACCCUCAACAGAAUGGGAUGGAAAGGGCGAGGCGGUGGGGGAUUUGCUUUUCUUUUAUUUACCUGGCCGACAACCGCUCCCCUCCACCCACACACGCACACAAUCUCGGGGACGCGUACGCGUGCAUGUGCGCACCUAUGCAUGCACGCGUCUCUCUCUCUCUCUCUCUCUCUCUCUCGCUC